UGAGGUCAUUGCGUGAAUGUCGUCGGGUGAGUGUGGAGUGAGUGGCUGUUUGUGUGCAUGAAUGUUUGUUUUGUGAGUGAGUGUCUGCCUGACUGUGCGAGUGAAUGGGAUUAUUUUAAAAAAAUCUACACCGUGAUCUUAUUUGAUCUGGUCCGAGUUGUUGCCCUGCUCGGAUUCAGAGAUGAUAAUAACCGACCCGCGAGCUUCUGUAGCGAUGAUCGUGAGGCUAAUUCACAUAACUCGGGGCAUCCACAGUUGAAACUGUGGUAAGAAAUGAUGAAUCGAUCAGAUAUACUAGAACAGGCAGGAUGUUGGAUUUAGGUCCAAUAUGCGCCGCUUGUUCUCUGAGUAUAACGGCGAUUCUGAUCUCA